rnacentral:rRNA from 1 species
AUUGAACGCUGGCGGCAGGCCUAACACAUGCAAGUCGAACGAGUGGCGGACGGGUGAGUAAUGUCUGGGAAACUGCCCGAUGGAGGGGGAUAACUACUGGAAACGGUAGCUAAUACCGCAUACCAUCGGAUGUGCCCAGAUGGGAGUAGCUAGUAGGUGGGGUAACGGCUCACCUAGGUGACGAGCCAUAGCUGGUCUGAGAGGGUGACCAGCCACACUGGAACUGAUGCACGGUCCAGACUCCUACGUGAGGCAUCAGUGGGGAAUAUUGCACAAUGGGCGGAAGCCUGAUGCAGCCAUGGCGCGUGUAUGAAGAAGGCCUUCGGGUUGUAAAGUACUUUCAGCGAGGAGGCGUGACUCGCAGAAGAAGCGCCGGCUAACUCCGUGCCAGCAGCCGCGGUAAUAC